CAAUUAAAGAUGAAUCAGGAACUUUGGACGCAGUAGCAUUCUACAAUGUGGCUGAGGAUUUGGUUGAGGUAAAUGCUACUCAAGCUACCCAGAACUUGAAAAUUGAUGCAACAGAACAUGCCAUAGCUCUUGAUACAGCCAUUGGGAAAACAAGACUGUUUCACAUUGCCAUGAAUACAAAGUACUCUUCACACUUCACUAUCAAUUAUGUCCUCAAGAAGAGUUAUCCCGUUGAAAAUGAAAAUACAAGUUUGAUGCUACCUACUCUGGAAAAUACAAAGGUAGCAAAGGUAUACAAAUGUUUGUCCUUACCAUAUCUUCUACCAACCAUCUAUAAUCUAAAAAUAACUUUUUUCAGGAAUCAGCCACCAAACAACUUGCAACAGAUGAAGGGCUAACCACCAUGGAACAUUGCAGGUUAACCAACAUAUGCCUUUUUUACUUAUUAUAUUCUGCUUAACAUUUCUAUAUUUAUGACUACAACUAAUAGCAGCAAAGAAGACCAACAUCCCACUACGCCACCGUCCCUACAACCUCCAGAAACAACUCUAGACAACAAUACAAUAAACCAAAUUAUACCUUCGGCAAAGAGAGCUCUUCAAUUUGAAAAGGAGUUACACAUUGAUCAACCAAGCCCAGCAAUUGCAAACACUAUUCAGGUUGCAACAAAUCAACUUUAUCAUUCCCAACAAGUAGAUCUCAUCAAGGAAAAACAACCGUCAACAGAAUUUUCUCCAGGACAAAAUUCUAAGCGCCAUAAAAAAGUAACGGAAACCUCCCCCAAUGGAGAGGAAAACCAGCUGCAGCAGCCAAAGAUAGCUGAUCAACAGCCAUCGGGUCACGAGGAACAGGAACCAUGAGGCGCAACUCAUCCACACCAACUACCUGCAAGCAGUUUCCAAGAUUACUGCAUCCAAAUCAACAGCUAUUUCUAUCACUCUCCAAGGGAAAUCAUCCACCGACGACCUCUACAAGCUGCAGCCAACUCAAGCUCACGUUGUGAAUUACACGAAAAAUAAGCUUCCUCACAUGCAUAUCAUUCUCUAUGGAGAAAAUGUCAAAAACAAUGAGAUUUAGAACUUACAGUUUCCUACUGUUUCCAGCUCACAAUAUUACUACCUACCUACAGUUUGCUGUAAUCAAAUAAACAAAACUUAAUUUUAUAUUUGCAUGUGUUUCACUCAACUUAUAUUUAUCCUCUGGUGAAGAUCUUGGUGUUCCUAACAAUAUUCUGCUUGCAAUGUUUCCAGUAAAUCUGAAUGGUGUUGUCAUUGUGACUAUAAACUUCCAACUCCUUGGACUCGAAAUGAGUUUUUUGUGCUUGGCACUUUAAGCAAUUGAUGAUGCAAAUAUCAUCUUUAAUUGAUCAGAUAGCAGAACUGCUUACUUUUGAAAUUGUAUACUAUACUAUACUAUAUUCCUGUUUGGUUAGGUAGCAGAACUACUCACUUAUAUCUCACUUAUUCAUGUUUAUUCAUACUUAC